rnacentral:lncRNA from 1 species
GUGUUAUUACUAUUAGAGACUCCAGCUUACCUAGUUCAAACAGCUAUGACCUCACAAGUAUCUGUGAGUAGGUCUUUUCUUUGAUAUGUAAAUAUAUUUGUUUAGUUUCCAUAUAUACAUCUAAUAAUGAAUUUUCUAUAUGACUGCCGUAAUUAAAUUAUAAUUUGUAAAAAAUGACGUAACGAUGAGAAUACCAUUAUAAAUCCUACAGGAUGCCUUAGCUAAACUUACGGCUAUGAAUAAUGUUAUGUCGACUAGAAUUAUUAAAUCACUGUGGCAUGGUUAUAUUUGUGUUAAUUGGUCAUCGUUUGCUUUCAUUAGUAUGUGCACAUCGCACUAUACGCUCACUUUGGAUUCAUUGUAGAUACCAGUCCUAUCCUAGAUUGCUAUAGGCAAUUAGGACUCGUAUGUGCUGUGUAUAGUGCCAGUCUUCACGUGAUUGUAGUACUAUAGCGUAUAUUAUUGUUACACCCAGUCAUGUUCAUGUCAGAAUAUCUUUGCAUGAACUUGUGUAUUAGCAUGUGUUGAUGAGCAUUCGAUAUGAUAUGUUUGCUAUUGUGAGAUUAUGUGAUUACAGGGGUCAUGUGCUUACUUACACAACAUUGUACCUUAUUGAAUUCUUGAGAUUUUGCAGGCUACGGUAAAUAUUUUCUUACUAUACGUAGUAUGUAUAUUUUGAAAACUAUACUUGUUUUAUGGCGAGAGGUUAUUACGUUUUUGAAAAGGUUUUUACAAAGCUUUGUUUUUAGGCCCACACACCCUUAUUUUUCGCCCUCCAGGUUUUAUUGCUGAGCUUUCAUAUCGACGAGGAUUCUUGGAAAAUCUCGUUAAAGGUGGCUACCUUUGAUGGUAUAAUUCUUAUCUUACUUUACUGUACUUUACUUAUGCUCUGACAUCACUUGUGAAAUGGAUUCAUUCUUGCUCACCAGCGCACUCUUAUAUUUAGGCGCUUUAGGGUUUAAAUUUAUUCACAAUUUUCCACAUCACUACACUUUAUGGCUUCGUCACCCUUCGAGUGUCGGCCAACACAACUUGAUUCGGAGUCCAAGUGGACAUUUCGGGUCGGGGUGUGACAGAGAGACUAUCUAGGAGGAAAUCUAGGAUAAGAUACCCAAUCUUUCUCGCAUCUUAAUUAUAUUGCCUAAUACCUAAGGUAUCCUAAUUUGUCUUUAAUUAGGGCUUCUUUUCUUGGAAAAAAAAAAAAUCUUUAAUGAGCUUAGGCCUAGUCUGUCUGACUUCACUUAGUAUUCUGACUUCAUCUAACUCGGUCUACUCUGAAUUUGACUAAGUCUACUCCGAAUCUAACUAGGUCAACUCUAAAUCUGACUAAGUCAACUUUGAAUUUGACUCGGUUUACUCAAAUUUGAUUAUGUCUAGUCCUCUUUGACUAUAAGAGUAACCUAUUUCGAUCCAUAUCAAGCCUCCCAGCUUAUCCACCUAAAUAUCAUGUGCUAUGAGAAUUCCGAUCUUUCUUGCCACUUAAGAUACCACAUGUCUUGGGUCUAGAAAAUCAUGGUCCAAUAGGACUUAACUUCAAAUUCACACUGGCUU